GUCAGGGGAGUUCUGGGAGAUGUAGUUCCUCUUUCUCCUGCCAUCGUGCAUUCCCUCCGCCCCCUCCCCCAACCUCCUCACACACUUCAUCGCUCAACUGCCAGUGUCGUUACCAUCAACAUAAACGACGGUAGUAAAUAAUGGCAGUAUGAUUACAUUCAUACUUUAUGUACCACCCUCUCAACAGUGCUGCAAAGGCUGUUUGGAUAUGGAGGAGGCCAAAGUGGCAAUUACUCAGACUGGCGUCCAAAUCUGGAAAUUCCCACACCAGCAUGUUCUCUCCACUCUGCUCCCUCUUCAGAGGGAAUUGGUUUGCAGGGAUUUAGACUACAGUAAGGCUUCCCCAGAGCUUGCAAACAGGGUUCAUUUACCCUCUAUGCAAACAAGGUCAACAACUCCGGAACUGCAGUAGAAGCAGCAAAGAACAGAAAUAAUUUGAUACUAACAUCCUCAUUCUACAGAAUUUGAGCUUUGCUAAAGAAAACUGAAGUUACUAUCGAGUCUGUUGGUUUGCUUUCCCCUUUCUCCCAUGUUUCAGCCGUUCAGAAUGUCAAUAAUUUACCCUAAGACAAC
ensembl:lincRNA 1700095J07Rik RIKEN cDNA 1700095J07 gene